rnacentral:misc_RNA from 1 species
GAUGAGAACGCAGCGAAAUGCGAUAAGUAAUGUGAAUUGCAGAAUUCAGUGAAUCAUCGAAUCUUUGAACGCACAUUGCGCCCCUUGGUAUUCCAUGGGGCAUGCCUGUUCGAGCGUCAUUUGUACCUUCAAGCUCUGCUUGGUGUUGGGUGUUUGUCUCGCCUCUGCGUGUAGACUCGCCUCAAAACAAUUGGCAGCCGGCGUAUUGAUUUCGGAGCGCAGUACAUCUCGCGCUUUGCACUCAUAACGACGACGUCCAAAAGUACAUUUUUACACUCUUGACCUCGGAUCAGGUAGGGAUACCCGCUGAACUUAAGCAUAUCAAUAAGCGGAGGA